AUGAACGCUGGCGGCGUGCCUAACACAUGCAAGUCGAACGGAGAUUAGACGCUGCAGAGAUUUCGGUCAAAGCUUGUUUAAUCUUAGUGGCGGACGGGUGAGUAACGCGUGGGCAACCUGCCUCAUACUGGGGGAUAGCAGUUGGAAACGACUGAUAAUACCGCAUAAGCGCACGGUACCGCAUGGUACAGUGUGAAAAACUCCGGUGGUAUGAGAUGGGCCCGCGUCAGAUUAGCUAGUUGGUGAGGUAACGGCCCACCAAGGCGACGAUCUGUAGCCGGCCUGAGAGGGCGGACGGCCACAUUGGGACUGAGACACGGCCCAAACUCCUACGGGAGGCAGCAGUGGGGGAUAUUGCACAAUGGAGGAAACUCUGAUGCAGCGACGCCGCGUGAAGUGAAGAAGUAUUUCGGUAUGUAAAGCUCUAUCAGCAGGGAAGAAAGGCUCGAAAGAGAGAUGACGGUACCUGACUAAGAAGCCCCGGCUAACUACGUGCCAGCCGCAGC
rnacentral:rRNA from 1 species